GUGGGGAAUAUUGGACAAUGGGCGAAAGCCUGAUCCAGCCAUGCCGCGUGUGUGAAGAAGGCCUUUUGGUUGUAAAGCACUUUAAGCGAGGAGGAGGCUACCGAGAUUAAUACUCUUGGAUAGUGGACGUUACUCGCAGAAUAAGCACCGGCUAACUCUGUGCCAGCAGCCGCGGUAAUACAGAGGGUGCAAGCGUUAAUCGGAUUUACUGGGCGUAAAGCGCGCGUAGGUGGCCAAUUAAGUCAAAUGUGAAAUCCCCGAGCUUAACUUGGGAAUUGCAUUCGAUACUGGUUGGCUAGAGUAUGGGAGAGGAUGGUAGAAUUCCAGGUGUAGCGGUGAAAUGCGUAGAGAUCUGGAGGAAUACCGAUGGCGAAGGCAACCAUCUGGCCUAAUACUGACGCUGAGGUACGAAAGCAUGGGGAGCAAACAGGAUUAGAUACCCGGGUAGUCC
rnacentral:rRNA from 1 species